rnacentral:rRNA from 1 species
GCCCUUCAGAGGGGGACAACAGUUGGAAACGACUGCUAAUACCGCAUACGAUCUAAUCUCGGCAUCGAGAAUGGAUGAAAGGUGGCCUCUAUUUAUAAGCUAUCACUGAAGGAGGGGAUUGCGUCUGAUUAGCUAGUUGGAGGGGUAACGGCCCACCAAGGCGAUGAUCAGUAGCCGGUCUGAGAGGAUGAACGGCCACAUUGGGACUGAGACACGGCCCAG